UCCUACGGGAGGCAGCAGUGGGGAAUGUUGCACAAUGGGGGAAACCCUGAUGCAGCGACGCCGCGUGAGUGAAGAAGUAUUUCGGUAUGUAAAGCUCUAUCAGCAGGGAAGAUAAUGACGGUACCUGACUAAGAAGCCCCGGCUAACUACGUGCCAGCAGCCGCGGUAAUACGUAGGGGGCAAGCGUUAUCCGGAUUUACUGGGUGUAAAGGGCGUGCAGCCGGAGAGGCAAGUCAGAUGUGAAAUCCGCGGGCUCAACCCGCGAACUGCAUUUGAAACUGCUUCCCUUGGGUAUCGGAGAGGUA
rnacentral:rRNA from 1 species